UUAUUCUCAUAAUCAUAAUCCUCUUCCCUCGGCCAUGAUUGUGUAUGAUGGCUUGGCACCAUACACCUAAACUAAAUUGAAUUGCACAUGAACACAAAUUCAAUCUGGGGAACGGCGUAUUCAUGGUUUGGUCCUGUUCUUGUUUCUCAUUGGCUGUGUGUAUUAGCUUGAGUGACGUCAUUAACAAGUUAACCAAUCGGAGACAGCAACACCAGCCAAACACGGAAGCCGGACACUGCUUCUGAAGUUGAAGUAAAAUUCUUCACCUCCUGCAAUCAAACGCAAAAAAUAAAUGUUUUGGUUUACUUUGAGAAAAAAGGAGGAGUUUAGAUCAUAUUUUCUGUUGUAAAUGGGUUUUUCAUGGAUCAUCGUCGCAGUUCCGCUUUGUUUUGCGGUUUUAUCCGUAGCUGUCGCCAUUAAUGGAGAAACGCUGGCCAUGCCGCCCCCUCUACCCACUGCCGUCGGCGUCCUCUCUGUGGCCGGGAUGGCGCUCCUUUGGAGGGACAUUAGCUCAAAGAUGAAGGGUAAUAAUCGGACCCUGGGCAGUCUUCUGAGCCAGUAUGUGGCGGUAAAGGCCGUGGGCUGGCUCGGUAGGCGGCAGCGAAAGAAACUGGAAGCCGACACACUGCAGGUGAUGCAGGUCCAGGAGGAGACUCUGCUGAAGAGACUUCGGAAAAACGCGGACACCUUCUAUGGGAGAAAGUAUGACUUCCACUCUGUUAAUGACGCCGCUGCCUUCCGAGCCCGCCACCCUAUCACCACUUAUGACCACUACCGAGAGCUCGUCGGACGCAUCGCAGCCGGAGAAGAGAAGCUAAUUAUUGCCGAGAAGCCGCUCAUUCUGGCCAUGACCUCCGGGACGUCAGGACCGAGCGCCAUGCUGUUGAGCACCAAGGACACAAACACAGAGUUCUUCCUGCAGGGGGUGGCUGUUUGUUUAGAUGCCAUGCGGCGGGCUUUCCCUGAGUCCGACAGCCUUCAGCGCACCACCAAGUUCUUCUACACCCCCACGCUUCGCCAGUCAGAAGCGGGCAUUCCUAUCGGACCCAACUCUUCCACACCGGCCUCGUCCCGCCACAUGCUCAACCUCUACACAACUCCAGCUCCUGCCUUCGAGGUUCCCAGUGAGAGGGACACUUUAUACCUGCACCUACUGUUUGCACUGAAAGAUCCCAGCGUGGGAACGUUGGAGUCCAACUUUGCGUCCACGGUCUUCUAUGCGUUCACGGCGCUUCAGGAGCGCUGGCAGGAGCUGGUGGACGACAUCGAACGAGGGACAAUCAGCGGCGCCUUGUCUCUGGAACCCAAAGUGAGGACCCGACUGGAAGUUCUAAUGAAGCCGGAUGCCGAGCGGGCCGAUCAGCUCCGGGCUCACUUCCAGGAGGGUUUUGUUGGAAUCGCCAAACGCCUGUGGCCUCACCUGAACCUGGUGCUGGCAGUGGACUCAGGCUCCAAUCAAAUCUACGGCGAAAUGUUGAGGGAGACUUACUGCAAAGGAGUGCCUUUCUAUUCACCCUUCUAUGCUGCUACAGAAGGUCUGAUUGGAGUGAACCUGUGGCCUCAGGAGGCAAACAGACGUUACCUGCUUUGUCCACGCUCCAUGUUCUGUGAGUUUCUGCCUGAAAGCAGCCUGGAUGAGGAGACCCCCCAAACUCUGCUGAUGGAAGAGGUGAAGGAGGGUGAAAGCUACGAGCUUGUUAUCACCAAUGCGUCAGGGCUUUUCAGAUACCGUAUGGGAGACAUUGUGAAAGUCGUUGGUUUUCAUAACCAGUGCCCCAUCGUGGAGUUUCAGUACAGACGGGGUCAGAUGCUGAACGUUCGAGGAGAGAAGGUCUCUGAGGCGUUGUUCCUCGGGGCGUUGAAGAGAGCCGUCGCUCAGUGGCCCGGAGCUCAGCUGGUGGACUACUCCUGUGCAGAGAGCGGCAUCUUGGGCGAUUCAAUAGGAGGCUCAGACCCUCAUUACCAGGUCUUUCUAGAGCUUAAAGGGGUGAGGAAUCUAACAGAGGAACAGAGAUAUAAGCUGGACAUUUGUCUCCAGAAGGACUCUGCCGUCUACAAGUCGUUUCGCACAAAAGGCAGCAUCGGCCCAAUGAGGGUGCAGCUGGUGUCGCAGGGGGCGUUCAAGGAGCUGCGGAAGCAGAUGAUGGCCUACACCAGCACCUCAGCCAACACUUUCAAAAUGCAUCGGGUGCUCCGGCGAAAAGAAUACGCCGAGUACCUUCUGGGAAAAACAGUUUCCUGAAGAUGGGCAUGAAUCGCGAACCGUAUGGAGAUCCCUGACGGGCGGACUCAUCCCAGGUUUUGUCAAACAGGAUGUACUGCUGUCUAACAGAAAAGCAUUACCCGGGAGGAAGGCGGUCGCAUUUACUGUAAAAAUGGGUCCCCGCAUCCAGCGCUGGAUCGUCCUCCUCAGUAACCCCACCACCUGCUGAGACAUCGCAGAAAGCCACCCUGCCGCGCUUCUGGGAUGCUGUGACGUCCAGCCACCUGCUGGCUGCCCCACGUCUGGGUCAAGAUGCCUGUGAUGAAGGGCCUCCUGGCCCCACAGAACACCUUUCUGGACACCAUCGCCACGCGCUUCGAUGGCACCCGUAAGUACAGUGGAAACACCCGUUGUGCUGAUCUCAACUUUUACAGACAUUUCAAAAAACACGAGGACUGAAGAAUUGAUGAUUAAAUACAACAAAGCUACUUUAGUGGACAGUAUAGACCAUUUACUGUCAUCAGGGUGGCAUAAUGCUUCUCUUCAAAAGUAUUGGCACCCCCUGAACCUGUCCAGAUUUUCCUCACCCUACAACUACGAACAUCAAAAAAAAUUUUGGGUUGGGGGGAUUUUAUGUCAUACUUUGUAGAACUUCCUUCCAUGUCUGUAUCGUGUUUUUAAGUCUAGAGACUGAAAAUGAAUGUCCAUUCCUCUUUGCAAAAUAGUUCAAGCUCAGUCCGGUUGGAUGGAGAGUGCCUGUGAACAGCUGUAGUUUCUGAACUUGCUACGUAUUCUCAAGUGGGUAUAAGCCCAGACUUUGACUAGGCCAUUCUUAUGCAGGUAAUUCUUUGAUCUGAACCUGUUCACUAUAGCUCAGGGUGUAUGUUUCGGAUCAUUGUCCUGCUGGAAGGGGAAACUCUUUUGCAGCCUCUAAUAGGUUUUCUGCCCAGCAUUUAACAGCAUUCAUAUUAAAAUCAAAUCUGUUGAGACUUCCUGUUAAUGCUAAAGAAAAGCAUGAUGCUGCCACCACCAUGUUUGAUAGUGGGUGCAGUGUUAAUCUAAUCAGAUUAGGCCAAAAAAUAAAUAAAUCACGUUUUACCUAUUUUCUGAUAAGGUUACUUCUGAAGGUAUCUGAUUAUACUGGAUUUUAUGUAGGUAAAUCCAAAUGCACACUUAACUUUUCAUAAUUAUGCAAAUUAAAAAGCAAAAACAUCCGCUUCAUUCCCCUUCAAAAAUAUGCACCACUUUGUCUUGUUGUAUCACAAUAAACCACAUUAAAGUUUGUUGUUGUUGUUCAAUGGACCCCAAUGCUACUGUGAAACAUUAUUAAAACAUUACUAAAAAUCAGUUUGAAACUGAAUUAAA